rnacentral:rRNA from 1 species
UACGUAGGGGGCAAGCGUUGUCCGGAAUUAUUGGGCGUAAAGAGCUUGUAGGCGGUUUGUCGCGUCUGCCGUGAAAAUUCGAGGCUCAACCCCGAGCCUGGCAGUCGAUACGGGCAGACUAGAGUGCGUGUAGGGGAGACUGGAAUUCCCGGUGUAGUGGUGAAAUGCGUAGAUAUCGGGAGGAACACCAGUGGCGCAAGCGGGCUGACUGGCCGAGACCUGACGCUGAGACGCGACGGCGUGGGGAGCAAACCGG